AGCCCGGACUCACAGUGCGCGAGGCGGCUCCGGCUGAGGCGGCAGGGGAGGGGAUGGGAGGCGGGGGCGCUGCGGCAGAGGCUGCGGCUCCGGCCGGCGGCUCCGGGGCGGAGGGUCCUAGCAGAGGCCGCCGCGGUCUCCGGCUUCAACGCACCGAGACUGCGGGGGACGAGAGCACUGCGCAGGCGCGAUGCGGCCACGGCUGUCAGGCCGAGCGGGGCGGGGCCAGGGCACCCGCCGUCUCCACAGCAACCAGGCGGCGAGAGGAGGACAACCGCUACCUCUACACCUCGUCCUAGCAACGGCGGCGCGAGGUGCGGGAGCCGAGAACAAUCCCUCUAGAUCGCCAUAGCAACGAGAAGAAACUGACUGACCUUGCCCAGACCUCCCAGUAAGCUGCCACUGGAUCAGAGGGAUGGAUCAACGCCAUUCUCCUAGCAACGGAAGCGUCACAUAAUUGCUGCCAGGGAAGCUUUCUGCCAGGCUACCUCUUCUUGAAAAAACACAACAGAAGCGGAGUGAGAAGUAGCUACAGUUUAAUACAAACCUGCACCAGAA
rnacentral:sRNA from 1 species